UUUUGAUAAAGAGAUAAAAUGAGGCGCAGCCUCAUUUAACGUCCUCUCUUCCUUGUUGCGGUAGUGGGAGUCGCGCCUGUGGUUGGCGAUCAGCCGAAAACCAGCAUAUUUUAACCUUUAAUUACAGACUGAAGAUUUUGCAGUGGAUGUUUUUUAAUAAGGUGGGAUGAAUGAUGGAGCUCAUACUGCUGGUAACUUCAAACAAGGAAUUAAAUUCAGUGUUCUUUCCAUGACUUUCAUUGUAUGGGUAAUUUGAAACUUGUAUGUAUAAAUGUGAUUUGUGUUCAGAAUGGACUGAUUGCAUCAUAAGUUUCCUCUUCCCACUUUACACAUUUGUUUGGAUUCAUCUGCUGUUAUUUGUAAAGGAUUUUCCACACUUCUGACUGACUUCUGUAAAUGUGGCAGUGAAUGGUAUAAAAUGUUGUUUUAGACCAGUAAUGGUGAAUGCCAAUGUAUGUUGUGUAAAAUGAAUAUGAAGUCUAAAUGCAUGUACAACAAAUUAUAAAUAAAAAGUUAACGUC